CAGUCGUACCUGCGGACAAUCAGCUUUUUGGGUGUGAUUUUGUGGAGCGUGAGGAGUCAAACGCCUUCAUGCCUGCAUAUUCGUGCACUUUGGGUGUACUUGCCCGUGUGUAAGUUAACAUCAAUUUUGGUGGUCAUAAAAUGGCUGGAGGAAUGUAGCUUCGAUCUCGUAUUGAAGUGUUAUAGCCUUUGGUAGAUGUGGUGAUCGAGAUUGAGGAUUGCAACGGAUACCCUUCGGGGCUACCUGUCUGGUCUCUGAUCGUUGCUCUGGUGCCGAAAGCUUGCUUACGGUUAUCAAAGUCGAUGGUCAAUAGGUUAGAAUGGGUUAAAUUCGGUUAA
rnacentral:rRNA from 1 species